rnacentral:rRNA from 1 species
UACGAAGGGGGCUAGCGUUGUUCGGAGUUACUGGGCGUAAAGGGCGUGUAGGUGGUUACGUAAGUCUGGCGUGAAAUUUCUCGGCUUAACCGAGGCAGGUCGUCGGAUACUGCGAGACUAGAGGACGGUAGAGGCGUGUGGAAUUCCGGGUGUAGUGGUGAAAUGCGUAGGUAUCUGGAGGAACACCGGUGGCGAAGGCGGCAUCCUGGACCGGUAGUGACGCUGAGGCGCGAA